rnacentral:lncRNA from 1 species
GCUGAUAAGACGGCUGAAUAAGCUGAAGCGGACAUAGGAUAAAGAAGAGCACACAGGCCUCCGGCUCGCCACCUUCCUCUUGGGCGGCACGCCAUGGUGCCACUCCGCGUCCUCCCCCGUCGUCGUCCACGCCGCGCGUGACCCGCCGUCCCGCGACCACGUCCCAGUCCCGGCGGCGGCGCCCUCAGCGUCGCGCCCCACCUGAUCCACCCCACCAUCCUCGCCGACGACGCCACCGACCCCGCCGUCCAGCGCACGGUCUACGACGUCACGGUCAUCUUCCGCGCCACCGCCCGCCUCGGCCCGACCCGCCUCCAGUACUUCGUCGUCCCCGCCGCCGCCGCCGCCCCGAACUCCGGCGGCGCUGACAGGGAGCUCGAUGCCGUGGACCUGUUCCUGAUUCUUCCUGGGUCUUUUUUUGGGCGCCUUCGUCGGCGCAAUGGUCGGCGUCGUCUUCGUCCACAAGGGACGCCGCCUCGGUGAAGACAAGGACGGCGAGUCCUCCGGCGACGGCGCCUUCCUGAUCAAGAACCCCGAGGCCGCCCGCGCCCAGGCCGGCGUCGCCAAGGCGGCCCGCGGCGGCAACUGAGAGGCCGGGCGCCGGCCAAGCACGGCGUACGGCGCUCCGUUCUGCUGACUACUAGUGUCUAGUAGUAUACUCUGGUGUUGAUCGCACCUCGUAGUCUUCUCGCUACUGCAUGCUAGAUUGCUAGUAGAGCUACCGUAUCCCGUAGUAGCUAAGCUCGAUGGUUUGCUUAACUCGAUCGCUCACACGCUUGGCACCCUAGCUCUUUCGUGCGUGGUGUAAAGAUGAGCUUGCCUGAUUUCUUCCAAAUUCCCACACAAUGAGAGCUCAUUAUUUGAGUUGCCGAAUCCAACUGCCAUGCAUAAUUCGGUGAAAUUGCCAAGACCUCUCCCAAGUCUCAUCCGGGCGGC